UACGGAGGGGGCUAGCGUUGUUCGGAAUUACUGGCGUAAAGCGCACGUAGGCGGACUGUUAAGUCGGGGGUGAAAUCCUGGGGCUCAACCUCAGAAUUGCCUCCGAUACUGGCAGUCUCGAGUGCGGGAGAGGUGAGUGGAAUUCCCAGUGUAGAGGUGAAAUUCGUAGAUAUUGGGAAGAACACCAGUGGCGAAGGCGGCUCACUGGCCCGUAACUGACGCUGAGGUGCGAAAGCGUGGGGAGCAAACAGG
rnacentral:rRNA from 1 species